CUGAUAGCUCAGGAGACCGAGGCCCUCACUCUAUCCACAAAAGAUAUGCAGCAAGGCGCAGAGAUAAUUUUGACUGCCUCAUGUGUGUGUCUGAAUGUUGCCUUGGAAAAACCGCUUCCAAAAGAGAUAGUGGCCCUGAUUCUUUGCCCAUUUACCUCUUGAAAGAC
rnacentral:sRNA from 1 species